rnacentral:pre_miRNA from 1 species
AGGCAAGAUGUCGGCAUAGCUGAGAUAUUUUCACUUUUUGGUAUAGAAAAGUAAGCUGUGUUUACAUCGUGCCAUC